rnacentral:rRNA from 1 species
GAGUUUGAUCCUGGCUCAGGACGAACGCUGGCGGCGUGCUUAACACAUGCAAGUCGAACGGAAAGGCCCCGCUCGCGGGGUACUCGAGUGGCGAACGGGUGAGUAACACGUGGGUGAUCUGCCCUGCACUUCGGGAUAAGCCUGGGAAACUGGGUCUAAUACCGGAUAUGACCUCCCUUUAGUGUGGGGGGUGGAAAGAUUUAUCGGUGCAGGAUGAGCCCGCGGCCUAUCAGCUUGUUGGUGGGGUAAUGGCCUACCAAGGCGUCGACGGGUAGCCGGCCUGAGAGGGUGGACGGCCACAUUGGGACUGAGAUACGGCCCAGACUCCUACGGGAGGCAGCAGUGGGGAAUAUUGCACAAUGGGCGGAAGCCUGAUGCAGCGACGCCGCGUGGGGGAUGACGGCCUUCGGGUUGUAAACCUCUUUCGACAGGGACGAAGUGAAAAUGACGGUACCUGUAUAAGAAGCACCGGCUAACUACGUGCCAGCAGCCGCGGUAAUACGUAGGGUGCGAGCGUUGUCCGGAAUUACUGGGCGUAAAGAGCUCGUAGGUGGUUUGUCACGUCGUCUGUGAAAUUCCGGGGCUUAACCUCGGGCGUGCAGGCGAUACGGGCAAUACUUGAGUGCUGUAGGGGAGACUGGAAUUCCUGGUGUAGCGGUGAAAUGCGCAGAUAUCAGGAGGAACACCAAUGGCGAAGGCAGGUCUCUGGGCAUUACUGACGCUGAGGAGCGAAAGCAUGGGUAGCGGACAGGAUUAGAUACCCUGGUAGUCCAUGCCGUAAACGGUGGGCGCUAGGUGUAGGGGACUUCCACGUUCUCUGUGCCGUAGCUAACGCAUUAAGCGCCCCGCCUGGGGAGUACGGCCGCAAGGCUAAAACUCAAAGGAAUUGACGGGGGCCCGCACAAGCGGCGGAGCAUGUGGAUUAAUUCGAUGCAACGCGAAGAACCUUACCUGGGCUUGACAUACACCGGACCGGCGUAGAGAUACGUCUUCCCUUGUGGCCGGUGUACAGGUGGUGCAUGGUUGUCGUCAGCUCGUGUCGUGAGAUGUUGGGUUAAGUCCCGCAACGAGCGCAACCCUUGUCUUAUGUUGCCAGCACGUGAUGGUGGGGACUCAUGAGAGACUGCCGGGGUCAACUCGGAGGAAGGUGGGGAUGACGUCAAAUCAUCAUGCCCCUUAUGUCCAGGGCUUCACACAUGCUACAAUGGUCGGUACAGCAGGUCGCGAACUCGUGAGAGUAAGCCAAUCCUUCAAAGCCGGCCUCAGUUCGGAUUGGGGUCUGCAACUCGACCCCAUGAAGUCGGAGUCGCUAGUAAUCGCAGAUCAGCAACGCUGCGGUGAAUACGUUCCCGGGCCUGUACACAC